UUUAUCCAAAUAAGAAGAUAAACCCACUCCCCAGCUACUUCUUCGACGACUCUACACUAAAACCCUAAUCUUCCUUUCUCAGGGAAAGAUGGCAUCUACUUUUGCUGGUAUGUCCUCAGCAGGUCCCUUGGCUGCUCCCAGCACUUCCUCAAACAAGCUUUCCUCUGUUGCUAAUAUAUCUUCCACCUCUUUCGGGAGCAAAAGAAAUGUUGCACUAAAAAAGUCACGCAGGCCAACAAUUUUGGCUGCAGCUAAAGAGUUGCACUUCAACAAGGAUGGCUCCGCUAUCAAGAAGCUACAGAAUGGUGUGAACAAACUUGCUGAUCUAGUUGGAGUUACUCUUGGCCCAAAAGGCAGGAAUGUUGUCCUUGAGAGCAAGUAUGGUGCUCCAAAAAUUGUUAAUGAUGGAGUUACUGUGGCCAGAGAGGUUGAAUUAGAGGAUCCAGUAGAAAACAUUGGUGCGAAAUUAGUGAGACAAGCUGCUGCCAAAACCAAUGACUUGGCUGGGGAUGGGACUACUACAUCUGUCGUGCUAGCUCAGGGCCUAAUUGCUGAAGGUGUUAAGGUGGUUGCAGCUGGUGCAAACCCUGUCCUAAUCACCAGAGGAAUUGAGAAGACAGCAAAAGCAUUAGUAGCUGAGUUGAAGAAUAUGUCAAAAGAGGUGGAAGACAGUGAACUAGCAGAUGUGGCUGCAGUAAGUGCUGGCAACAAUUUGGAAGUAGGGAGUAUGAUUGCUGAAGCCAUGAGCAAGGUUGGAAGGAAAGGUGUUGUGACACUAGAGGAGGGUAAAAGUGCUGAAAACAGUCUGCGUGUGGUUGAAGGAAUGCAAUUUGACCGUGGUUAUGUCUCUCCUUACUUUGUUACCGACAGUGAGAAAAUGUCCGUUGAAUAUGAGAACUGUAAGUUGCUACUGGUUGAUAAAAAGAUAACAAAUGCAAGAGAUCUUGUUAAUGUCCUGGAAGAUGCUAUCAGAAAUGGUUACCCAAUUUUAAUUAUUGCUGAAGAUAUUGAGCAGGAAGCUUUGGCAACUCUUGUUGUCAAUAAGCUUAGAGGUGCCUUGAAGGUCGCUGCACUUAAAGCUCCUGGUUUUGGUGAGCGAAAAAGCCAGUAUCUUGAUGACAUAGCAACCCUUACUGGAGGCACUGUUAUUAGGGAGGAGCUUGGCCUUACCUUGGACAAGGCUGACAAGGAAGUUCUAGGUCAUGCUGCUAAAGUAGUGCUGACUAAGGAUGCCACUACAAUUGUUGGUGAUGGUAGCACUCAGGAAGCAGUCAACAAACGUGUUGCACAGAUUAAAAACCUGAUAGAGGCUGCAGAUCAAGAUUAUGAAAAGGAAAAGCUAAAUGAAAGAAUUGCUAAGUUAUCAGGAGGUGUGGCUGUCAUACAGGUUGGAGCUCAAACUGAAACUGAAUUGAAGGAGAAGAAACUUAGAGUAGAAGAUGCUCUCAAUGCAACAAAGGCAGCUGUUGAGGAAGGUAUUGUUGUUGGAGGAGGGUGCACGCUCCUCAGACUUGCUGCAAAAGUUGAUGCCAUAAAGGGAACCCUUGCAAAUGAUGAGGAGAAGGUUGGAGCGGAUAUUGUCAAAAGAGCAUUGAGCUACCCUUUGAAAUUGAUUGCUAAAAAUGCUGGUGUUAAUGGAAGUGUUGUCAGUGAGAAGGUGCUGUCAAGUGAUGA
rnacentral:misc_RNA from 1 species